rnacentral:rRNA from 1 species
AUGGGCACGAUGGGGUAUAUGGACCCAAUCUUCUUCAUGACUGGCGAGCUCACCACGGAGUCGGACGUCUACGCGUUCGGCAUGGUGAUCCUGCAGGUGCUCACGGGGCUGCUCGAUGUCAACAUCGUGGAGCAGGUGCAGGAGGCGCUCAAGAUGGACGCCAUGCAUGGUCUGCUGGAUGCAUCUGCCGGCAGCUGGCCGAGGGUGCAGGCAGAGCGGCUCCUUCGGCUGGCGCUGAGGUGCUGCAACCUGGAGCAGAAGCAGCGGCCGACCUUCACGUCCGACACCGACUGGAGGCCGCUGGACAUCCUGCGG